AGCGAACGCUGGCGGCAGGCUUAACACAUGCAAGUCGAGCGCCCCGCAAGGGGAGCGGCGGACGGGUGAGUAACACGUGGGAACGUGCCUUUUGGUUCGGAACAACCCAGGGAAACUUGGGCUAAUACCGGAUAAGCCCUUACGGGGAAAGAUUUAUCGCCAAAAGAUCGGCCCGCGUCUGAUUAGCUAGUUGGUGGGGUAAUGGCCCACCAAGGCUACGAUCAGUAGCUGGUCUGAGAGGAUGAUCAGCCACAUUGGGACUGAGACACGGCCCAAACUCCUACGGGAGGCAGCAGUGGGGAAUAUUGGACAAUGGGGGCAACCCUGAUCCAGCCAUGCCGCGUGAGUGAUGAAGGCCUUAGGGUUGUAAAGCUCUUUUAGCGGGGAAGAUAAUGACGGUACCUGCAGAAAAAGCCCCGGCUAACUUCGUGCCAGCCGCCGCUGUAAAAC
rnacentral:rRNA from 1 species